rnacentral:rRNA from 1 species
AGCUCCAGUAGCGUAUAUUAAAGUUGUUGCAGUUAAAAAGCUCGUAGUUGGAUUUCUGGUAUUACGCGUCUAGUCCGCUGCGGUAACGUAUGUGAGUACUGGUUCGCGUUUGCCAUCCUUCUAGGAAACGUGUCUUCUCUUCAUUGAGUCGGAUACGGGUUCUAGAUCUUUUACUUUGAAAAAAUUAGAGUGUUUAAAGCAGGCGUUGCCGUGAAUACAUUAGCAUGGAAUAAUAAUUUAGGACUUCGGUUUCCUAGUUUGUUGGUUCUUGGAGCGGAGUAAUGAUUGAUAGGGAUAGUUGGGGGUGCUAGUAUUGAGUGGCCAGAGGUGAAAUUCUUGGAUUCACUCAAGACUAACUUAUGCGAAAGCAUUCACCAAGGAUGUCUUCUUUA